rnacentral:hammerhead_ribozyme from 1 species
AGUUAGCUGACGAAUCGCAAAUAGGACGAAAUGCGCAUCCUGGAU